UACGUAGGGGGCAAGCGUUGUCCGGAUUUAUUGGGCGUAAAGAGCUCGUAGGCUGCUUGUUGCGUCGACUGUGAAAACCCGCGGCUUAACUGCGGGCUUGCAGUUGAUACGGGCAGGCUAGAGUUCGGUAGGGGAGACUGGAAUUCCUGGUGUAGCGGUGAAAUGCGCAGAUAUCAGGAGGAACACCGGUGGCGAAGGCGGGUCUCUGGGCCGAUACUGACGCUGAGGAGCGAAAGCGUGGGGAGCGAACAGG
rnacentral:rRNA from 1 species